CUUACAUCCUUCUCUGGCAGGUUAGGUCUUGGUGAAGCCAGUUUCCCAGAGUUUGCCAGGGUUUUGUCCUCUUAUUUUGUCCCCUUCCUGGGUAAGAACUCUCUGUUUUGGAUUUACUUGAGUACAAACCUGGCAUCGGACUGAGACAUCUCAUGCCAGGCUGUCCAAUCUAUGCAUAACAUAUCUUAGUCUCAGCAGCUCACAAGUUUUCUGGAACCCAGAUGAGAAGCCUGUAAAGGUCAGUUAUCAGAGUCCUGCCUACUGUUUCUGGGAGAAUGAUGUUUCCCUUUGGUGUUCUUUACCAGCCCUCAGGUUCUAGCUGCUUGUUUGUUUAUUUCCUCUUGGUUGAACUAUGGCAUCUCAGGUAACACUGGGUCAGUAUUUGUCAACAGAGUAUCAACAGGCCCCACUGGUUUUAGGGCCAUUUGUUAGGAGCCAGGUCAGAAGCCUCAGGAGUGUCAUCUUUUUGAUGUCCUCAGCAGUGGAGGACAGCAACUCAUAGAGAAAGCCAAAUAGCUUAAGGACGGUAACUUAGUUAAGGUUUCUACUACUGUGAAGAGACACCAUGACCAUGACAACUCUUAUAAAGGAAAACAUUUAAGUGGUGGCUUACAGCUUCAGAGGUUUAAUCCAUUAUCAUCAUAGUAGGAUAUGGCAGCAUGCAGGCAGACAUGAUGCUGGAGGAGCUAAGAGUCCUACAUCUUAGCUUGUAGGCAACAGAAAGUAAACUAAGACACUGGGCAUAGUUUAAGCAUAGGAAACCUCAAAGCCUGGCCCCACAGUGACAUACUUCCUCCAACAAGGCCAUACUUACUCCGACAAAGUCACACCUCCUAAUAGUGCCCUUCCCUAUAAUCUUAUGGGGGCCAAUUACAUUCAAAGUACCACAUUACACUCCCUGGCUCACAUAAGCUUGUAACAAUAAUACAAUGCAAAAUACAUUUAGUUCAACUUCAAAUGUCCCUAUAGUCUAUCACAGUCUCACCAGUGUUUUAAAGUCCAAAAUUCAAAGUCUCUUUUGGAUCCAUGCAAUCUCUUAACUGUAAUCCCCUGUAAAAUCAAAAUCAAAAGACAGAUCACAUACUGCCAACAUAUAAUGGCACAGGAUAUACAUUACCAUUCCAAAUCAUAGAGAAGGGAGCACAGUAAGGAAAUACUGGACCAAAGCAAGACCCAAAACCAGGUGGGUGAACUCCAAACUCUGCAUUUUCAUGUCUGAUAUCAAAACACUCUUCAGAUCUCCAACUCAUAAUACACUUCUCUCUCUUGGGCUUGUUCCACUCCCUGUUAGCAGCUUUCCUUAUCAGGUACUCCACAGCUCUGGCAUCUCCAAAAUCUUGGGGUCUCUAAGGCAAUCCAGGCUUCAGCUUCACGGCUUCACACAAUGACCUCUUUAGGCCUCCAUUUAGGAGUACUCCUGACACAUGUCUGGCCUCAGUGGCUUUCCUUAGUCAUGGAGGAAUAUAACAUAACCCCUUUCUUCUAUCCUUAAAGCCAGAACCAUGUGACUGAAAUUGCCAAGUUCUGCUGCUUGCUGGAAUAGAACAUGGCCCCUUCAUUCAAUUACAUCUUCACCAUGGUUUUCAAUGGUUUCCUUCACUGCCUCAGUUGGACUGUCUUGAAACUGGAUCUGUAGACCAGGCUGACCUCAAACUCAGAGAUGUGCCAGUCUCUGCCUUCCCAGUGCUGGGAUUAAAGGUGUGCAGUACCACAUCCAGUUCUAAGCUUUUCCUUAAUUCUUUUUCACAAGUUGGAAACUUAGCUGGGUGGGAUCUUGCCCUGAGGUCACCACACUCUUUAUUCCUUUUCUUAAUCUGUUUAUCUCCUUGAACAUAGGACUUAGCUCCAUUCCACUUCUUGAGAUUCCUUUUACCUCAAAUUUUAUAUUUUGUAUUUUUCCUUUCUCAGCUUGCUCCUUUUCAUUGUAAGUCUUCAUUAGAGUCAACACUAAUAACCACACGACAGAGUCAAUAUUAGACUUUUGAAAUUUCCUCUGCAACAAAAUUAAUCCAAAACUCUUCACUUUAGCCUCAGGCAAACUUUUCAGACAAAGGCAAAAAGCAAUCACAUUCUUUAUCAAAAUAUCACAAGAGCAAUUUCUACAACAUAUUAAAAUUCUUCUCUGAAACCUUUUGAACCAGGACCCCACAGUUCAUCAGAUCAUACUCAGCACCACUUCUUCCAUGUUUCUACUAAUAUGUCCCAUUAAGCAGCACUUAAAGCUUUCAACUGCUCUUCUAAUCCACAAUCCCAUGGUCCAUAUUCCUUCAAACAAAAGUAUGGUCAGGCCUAUCACAUAAAUACCCCACUCCUAGUACCAACUUCCCUCUUAUUUAGGUUUUCUAUUACUGUGAAGAGACACCAUGACCAUGACAACUCUUAUAAAGGAGAGCAUCUAAGUGUGUGGCUUAUAGUUUCAGAGGUUUAGUCCAUUAUCAUCAUGGUGGGGCAUGGUGGCGUAUAGGCAGACAUGAUGCUGGAGAAGGAGUUGAGAGUCUUGCAUCUUAGCUCACAGAUGACAGGAAGUGAACUGAGACACUGGGCAUAGCUUGAGCAUAGGAGAUGUCAAAGUUUGUCCCCACAGUGACACAUUUCCUCCAACAAGUCCAUACCUACUCUAACAAAGCUACACCUCCAAACAGUGCCACUCCCUAUGAGCUUCUGGGGGCCAAUUACAUUCAAACUACCAUAGAAGACCUAUAACACAAAUUGCUAAAUGGUCUUAUUAAUAAGAAAUAUGGAGCCAGAUAUUGGGGUGAAAACUGAGAAUCAGAGGAAUAGGACAAGCCACAGCCAACCUCACCUUAGCAACUCCUCAGCCUCCAGAGAGAGCUACUUCCUAUAUACUCAUGCCUUAUAUGCCUUUGUGCUCUGUCAUCUUACUUUCUUUCUCCACCCAGCUUCAUCACCUCCUCUUUCCUCCCAGCUCUAUCACUUCUCGUCUGUCUGUAAAGACCUCCAGACCUCUAUGGUUAACUACCACUGGGAUUAAGGGCAUGUGCUACCAUGCCUGGCUCUGUUCCUAGUGUGGCCUUGAAAUCACAGAGUUCCAGAUGGAUCUCUGCCUCCUGAAUGCUAGGAUUAAAGGCGUGUGCUACCACUGCCUGGCUCUAUGUUUAAUAUAGUGGCUGAUUUUUUCCUCUGAUCCCCAGAUAAGCUUUAUUGGGGUGCACAAAUAAAAUAUCACCACAAAAGACACUUUGUUUUUAAUGUCCUCUCCCUAGCAGUAAGAAGCCCUCUUUGUCUAUAGAUCAUACUGUGGACUUGCACAAUAUAGCAAAAGCAUAGUGACUAUGUACAUGAUGAUGGACUUUCCUUUUCCCCAUCUGAGAGUCUGAAUCAGAAUGAUUAGUUCUAUUCUCUGGGCUGAGAUACCUGGCCCUAAGGCUUGGGACCAAAUAGUUUCUAUUAAAGUAAAUACUUUAAACCCACCAUAUACCUGGUUACAUCUUUAAUAAAGCUGCUCCCAUUCAUGUAGAACACUGCACUGCCAUCUUUCAGGGGGAUGUUUGUUAGGUCUGGGGAGAUCUCCUGGAUCACUGUGGUCACUGAGUGACAGUCAUGGAUGAGCACCUGCAGGUCCUCAUCAAGCAAGAGGGUGGCAGAAUUGUUGGUGGGGGUUUUCUCAAUCUGGACUUGAGGGUGGUCCAGGAAUAGGACCUGGGACUGGAUCACACAGGCGUUACACAGCCAGCAUUCUGGUGUCCCUCAGAAGAGGGCCUCAAGUGUGUGACGUACUAUGAGUCUACGAUCCUGACUCAGGGUUAACUUGCCUGCUUCUUUUACUAGAAUAGCAGAGGCCACCACAGCUCUUAUACAUAUGGGCCAUCUUGUGACUACAGGGUCAAACUGUUUGGACAGGUAUGCCACAGGUCAUUUCCAUGGACCCACAGUUUGGGUCAAAACCCGUUUUGCAGUUCCUUUUGUUUCGUGGACAGAUGAAAAUGUUUUGAGACGUCUGGAAGUGCUAGGGCUGGCGCUGAUGCCAGAGAUGUUUUUACAGCCUCAAAUGCCUUUUGUUCAAUCUCAGCCCAGAUUAGAGGCCUGGUGCCCUCCCUUGUGCUGGCAUAUGGAGGCCUUGUUAUUCAUGCAAACACUAGUAUUCAGAGGUAGUAGUAAUACACAACUGCACCUAGGAACUCUCAAACCUGUCUCUCAGUCUUUGGAGUUGGGAGCAAAAAGACGGCAGCAAGUCUACUCAGAUAGGACCUGCUGCCUAUAAUGUACAAAGUUGGUCUUAGCUGACACCCUGUAGCUAAAGGUCUGUAACUCUUAUAGCAGUCCCCCAGUGUCACUUAUACAAUCUCUUUCAGUUUUAGAGGCUAGGAGGAGGUUGACGACAUAUUGCAAGAAUAUGGUCCUGGAAAACCUGACAGAUGAGCAGGUCAGCAGUUAGUGUCUUCGCAAACAGUGUUGGCAAAUUUUUAAAUCCUUGGGGCAGCCUGGUCCAGGUAAGUUGCCAGCUGUAACCUCCCCCAGGUCUGUCCAUUUAAAAACAAAGAUGAGCUGACUCACCUCUGCCAAGGGGAGGCUGACUAAUGCAUCUUUCAGGUCCACAAAAGUGUACACCUGUUUCCCCAAAGGAAUUGGGCUCAUUAGUGUGUAUUGUAUGGAAACAUGGGGUGGAUAGUAUCAACCCUCUUAAUUCACUUCCCCUAGAUCUUGGAUGGAUCUAUAACUGGAGAUACCAAGGUUUCACAAGCAGGAAAGGUAUAUUCCAGGAUGAACGGCAGGACACCAGGAUGCCCAUCUCUCUAAGCUGGACAAUAUGAACUGUAAUUCCCCACUUUGCUUCCAGUAUCAUUGAGUAUUGAUUGGGUAUGGUUUAAUCUGGACAGGAUGGCUGAACUGUUAGUUGAAUAAUUAUAGGACCUCCUAGAAGUUUGGUUCCUCCCACACCUUUGAGUAUCUUUGUUGGAAAUCUGAGAGAUAGUCCAGCUGUAUUUUCUGAUUUGGAGGAGGACUUUCAGUUAGGAGAUAGUCUUCUGACAAAGGGCAAGACCCCAAGCUUUUUCUGGGUAUCUUUAAGUCUAACUGUGUCUCAUCAUCAGAGAGGAUAGUGGCUUUUGGUUUAUGCGAAAGGGAGUAGGGGCAAUCAGAUAUGAUCAAGAAUGAGUGAGUUACUGUCACCUUUCCUAGGCUGAUGGAAGAGGAGAUGGUCCAGGGAUGGUAGGCCAUUAUUCCUGUUGAUCCUUGGACUGCAAUCUUUAUUAACAGGUUGGCUGAUCAGCUUCGUAAGAACCAAAUGUUAUUUUGACUGUUCCCAACAGUCUUAGUUUUAGUUAUGAGAAUAUAGGGGAAUGCAGGCCACACAGUCCAACAAAGCCAUGCCCUUGAGUUUUAGCUUAUACUUCAAAAUGCGGUGGUGGCACACACCUUUAAUCCCAGCACUCAGGAGGCAGAGGCAGGCUGAUCUCUGUGAGUUCAAGGCCAGCCCAGGCUACAGAUUGAGUUCCAGGAAAAGUGCAAAGCCACACAGAGAAACCCUAUCUUGAAAAAACAAAUAAACAAACAAAAAAAAAACCCAAAGUCUGAAUAAUAUUUCCAGUUCAGAAGGAACUCUGACACUACCUACAUUUAUGUACUAAUUUUCUAUUCAUGAUAGUGGAAUAAUUUUACGUGGGAUGAUGAAUGGUUUGGGUGGAAUGUCAGUCUAAAAAUUCUUACUCUUCUUGACAACUCACCAGUGUCGUGGAAAUAUAUCAGAGCAACAGAUUCAUCUCCUGGUCUGGUUGAAGUUACAAAGUGAAUAGGACAUUUAUCAAGCACAUGUCCACACAGUACAGUUGCACCUGUACACAGAUGGGCAUGUUCACAUACAAGUGCUCACAUGCACACAUAGGGGUGAGUGCCACCCUUCUCUCCCCAGUACCAUAGUCCAAGAAAUCUGGGUGUUGUGCCAACCGUUUGUGUCUUCCCCUUGCCCUUCUCUUGUUUGAUACCUUCCAUCUCACUAAGCAAAUAUAAAUGACUUUCUUCUGUGAUUACAUAAAUUAUAUGCAUCUUUCUUGAAGAUUACUCCUCCAGUCCCAUGGAAUUAGAUGUACACAAAAUUUGUGUAUGCUUUUAGCCAACUUCUUACCUGGCUUAGAGCAUUUUUUUCUUAUCUCCUUCACAACCAUAAAAGAGGUAGGAAGGUCAAAAUGAAUCUCUGUUAGUUAGUACUGUCAUUUCACAGGUACCACCAUUGACAUGAGCAGUUGCUUUGGACAAGAGCUUCUCAAUGUUCAGGUCUCAAAAAGCUUAAAUGAUUUGGGUAGGUAUCUGAAGGUCUGGCUGCUUCUGGAUUUUCAAAAUUGUUUUCUAAUUCUCUGACAAUACUAAAUUGUCUUGAAGGGGUAGGGAAAUGCUGAGUUCUUUUUGUUUUGUUUUGAAAGCUUUAUUGAUUUUAACAAGAAGGCACACUCAGAAAUAAAGUAAGUACAUUUUUGGACCCAACUGCAUAUCAAGGUAGAACUGUCAUAUUCUUUUUAAAGCAAAAGUUAAAGAAUAAAACAUUAAUAUAUUCAUAUAGCAACAUCACAUUAUACCUCAUAAAUAUAAUUAUAUAUUUUAUGGAUCAGUUUUAACAAAACAACUGUGAUAUACAUGUUUGUGAAAUUAAAGGAAAUUGUAUUGAAAGAAAUUGCUUUCUUUUUAUUUCAUUCUUUUUCUAAUGAGGUGCUAUCAAAUAAUGAAACUGUUUUGGUGGUUUGAAAGAAAAUGGCCCCCAAAGAGAGUGGCAUAUUAGAAGGUGUGGCCUUUUGGAGUAGGUAUGGUCUUAUUGGAGGAAAUGGGGGUGGACUUUGAGGUCUUUUUCUCAAGCUUCACUCAGUGUGACAGGCAGUGGACUUCCUGCUGCCUUCUAGUCAAGAAAUAGCCAGUGCAACAUCUGCCUGCUUCCCAUCAUGAUGAUAAUGGACUAAACCUCUGAAACUAUAAGCUGCCACCUCAAUUAAAUGUUUUCUUUGUAAGAGUUGACAUCGUCAUGGUGUCUCACAGCAAUAGAAACCCUAACUAAGACACUGUUUAAGCACCAGAGAAUUAUGAAAACUGAGUAAAAAAACAAAACAACAACAACAAAAAACACUGUUUGGUUCUGCCUACAGAGUGUGUUUUUCAUGAUAACUUAGACUUUGGUCAGUGAUGAGGCAUAAGUUGCUCCGGCUUGUCUCAGUUGGACUCAUCUUUGGUCUGACCUGAAAUUGACCCUCCCCCUCAUCUAUCCCUGAAGUAUAAGAUCCAACAGGAAAGUAUCCAACUCUGUUCUUGAAGCUUGGGGUUAAAAUGCUCUGGCUAGCUGCUUAAAUACUUAAACAGGGGCUCUUACUUAUCAAUUCUAAUUUGGAAGAAUAUUUAUUACAUAAGACUUUUUUCUUUUGAGUUCAUGCUAGAUUUUUUUUUUAGAUAUUCAUUUUGGGGGUAAUUUGUUUUUAAAAUGGCCUUUGACAAUUUUUUUUCUAGAAGCAACCACCAAAAAAUUUCAAAGGAAUAUAUUUCAGUGUAAUGAUUCAGUUAGCUCUUUACAACUGAGUAACAGAUGAAGUGUGUACACAUUGUUAAUUGUUACUAUACCAGUGUAAAUUCAGAGAAGCUGCCCACUCAAAACCAUUAUGUUUACAAUCAACACAAAUAACAAAAAAUCUUUCCCAAAUAAAAAAAUCUUCCAUGGACAUCCCUAUUUACUGAAAACAAUUUUAUAAAAUUAUCAUUGAGAAAGCUAUUUAAGCCUCCUAAGCCAUCUUGUUCAAAAAUAUUUUAUUGCCAUAGCAUCUCCAUUUAUUGUUCAAAACAAGCAAACUCAACCUUAUUGUGGUGUGGUUUUUCAUUUCUGUAAAUACAUUACUGCUGAUCAGGAACUAAUUCCAUUUUUUUUUAACUAAGACACAGGAAAAAAUUUUAGCAAAUCUUUCUGAAAUUCCCAGUGGAGAACAACCCAAAUAACCAACAAUGACUUGGCAGUCUGUACUCAGAAAUUUCCUCCAAGCAUUUACUUUCGUACUGUAACAAUGUGACAAUAACCAGUUAUGAAAAUGUGCCAUUUAGAUUAGACAAUCAGAGGGACACUUACUGCAAUUAUAGCUGUAGGACUAGGUUAUGUGCAAUAUUCUUGAACUUCUGUAGGCUGAAAAACCCAUUCAAGGACCUCCAUUGGAUCUUAGUUAGAGUUGCCUUUCUAGUCUCUGUAGAAACACCAUAUUUGUGUAAACAAAAGUAUGAAACACUUUUUUCAGUUUGUUUUUAAGGUUUUCUUUUUUCUCUGUGAAGACAUAAAUGUGCUUAUAAAAACAAAUCUUUUAAUUUAUCAAGAUACUCCAGUUUCACUUUGGGUUCUUUCUAAACCUUAAAAAAUGCCUGUCUAGUCUAUUUAAUGUCCAGAUUCUGCAUCCAGAAAAAAUGGAUUUGAUCUGACAGUCCACACAGUGCUGACUGACUGCCUCAGCACACAGGCACCUGUCUCAGGAUGAAGCCAAGAUUCACCGAACUCCACAUUUUCCUCAAGAGCAGGCAUCCUCAGCAGAAGAAUCUUAAGGAGUCACAGAUGCCUCCCCACCCCCAUGAGGCCCAGCUGCUUCCCAGAUUCUCACAGUUCUACCAGAGGCUUAAGAAUUCCAGAAGUGCAUCUAUAGAAAGGCGUGGUACAUGUGCUAGAAGCUAAUGUUAGAAGCAGACAUUCUGUUCGGGAAUUAUUAAUAAAUGAAUGCAGAAGGUUGCUGAGCACUUGAAAUGAUACUUUUUGCCUAGUGGAAGCCCAAUAAAGAUUCUUGAAGAAAACAAAUAAGUACAAAGCAGUAUUUUAAACACAAGGACAAUUUUCCAAGGUUAAUCCUGUUUGCUCUACCUCUGGCAAAAUGAUAGUGACUGAAAACUAUUCAACAUAGAAGUGAAGGCUGAUGUUUAUCAGUGGGACACACCUGCUCCUGGCAGCACCAAUCUACUUCAAAAAAGGCUGAUGAGCAUCAAAGAACCUCCAUAUGGAGUUUGCUUUCAUUGUGGUAAAGUUAGCCACAGGGCAAGAAACUGUCCUUGUCUUGACUGCUGACAGAAUGCUGUCUAAACUGGAUAAUCAGGACACACAAAAAGACAAAUGCCAAACAUUGCCAAGAUGAGGUAGGACAAUCCUUAAAAACUCCUGUUUCACAGAAAAGUCUGUCAGAUAUUCUAGGACACUAGGUAGAAGACUGAUGCCCAACGUUGCAGAGGAGCCUUGAGGUAACUGUCCAGGCAGCCGACUGUCUCUGUCAUUUCUUGGUUUUGGAAGUUCUUUGCUCUGCACUUCUUGUUUACUCAGGUAAUAUUGUAUCUUUCUCGAGUCUUUGAUGGGGUUGAAGACUAAAUAGUUAUAGUUACAGUUUUCCUUGUUACCGAAUUCAGAAAAGAAACUUACAUAAGAGAUGUAAAUUUUAUAAGGUUGAGAAAUAUAAAAGCUUAAGUUGUUUAUCUAAAAAGAUGUUUUAAGAUCUAAAAAGAUAUUUUUAGGAUUGUAAUACAAGUUAUGAUAAAAAGUGGUUUAGGUAUAAAACUUUAGAUUCAUCAGGAUAGGAAGGAUAAUGGAAUAUUUCUCCAAAAUUUCCAAAUACAAAUGGACUGGACAUUAUAAAUAUAAUUCUUACCUGAUAAUUGUUCUUAUUAUAUAUAGUUUUACUCUAUUAGAGUUAAAUUCUUUCUUGUUUAUUUAGACAAAAUGUGUGGAAAUGUUGCAGAAUAUUUGUUUACACUGUGAAGAUGGAAUUUUUGCCAAAGAAGCUUCUGAUUGGUUUAAUAAAGAGCUGAAUUUCCAAUAGCUAGAUAGGAAGAGGUUAGGUGGAACUUCCAGGAACAGAGAGGAGUCUGGGAAGAAGAAGAAAGCAGAGAUACCAGGAGGCACAGAAUAAGCAGGAUGUGCAGGAGGAGAAGUAACAGCCACAAGCCAGGUGGUAGAGCAUAGAUUAGUAUAAAUGGGUUAAGUUAUAAGAGCUAGUUAGGAACAAGCCUAAGCUAUAGGCUGAGCUUUCAUAACUAAUAAUAAGCUUCUAUGUCAUUAUUUGUCAGCUGGUGACCAGUGGAGAAGCUUGAUACACCACCCAAAUUAGUUUAUAUUUAAAAUUAUUUCUACCAACACACUGUUGUUAGUAAGUUGCAAAAUAGGAGGUGGGAAGCACAUUGUAGUCAGAUUUAACAGUCUGAAUGCUGCUUCCACCUGUGCCAUUAGCAUUGUGAUCAGUGGGCAAGUCGUGAAAUUGCUCUAGGCUAGUGGGUUUUAGUCAGGGUUCUCUGGAGGAGCAGCGCUGAUAGAAUGAAUGUGGACUACAAAGGAGAUAUGCUAUUUUGUGUGGUGCAAUAAAGGCUGAGCAUCUCAACAAUGACUGUGUGUGUGCCAAACAGGCUGAGAAAUCUUAGCUGCUCAGUUUAAGAACCCGGAGGUGCAUGUCUCAGCAAUCGCCUUCUGGCACUGAAGGCCUAGAAGAUUCCUGGAGAGCUGCUGGUCUUGAGUCCACAUUGAGGCUGAAGGAGCUUCCAGUGUCAGUGAAGCCACAGAAACAGGAUAGAGGUACUUGCCAGCAAGAAGCCGAGACAGAAAAGGGGCCAGCACUGCUUUUCCUCUGACCUCUGUAUAUCUGAAGUUGUCAGAAGUUGUUGCCCACUCUAGGAGAAGGCCUUCUUCCCAGGUAAGCCUUCCUGGAAUGCCUUCAGAGACCUGCUCAGAAGUGUGUCUCUUAUGUCACUCAUUGAAUUGACUAUCAAGAUGAAUCAUCACAUGAUGUCAUCCCAUCGGGAAACACAUAGGUCCCCAAGGGUCCUUUUAGCCCGAACUUUUUCUAUCAUUGAACAUACCUCUUCUUUGAAAGUCACACUAGAUAUUGGAUUGUGACCCCUAAAUCUCACAUGUUGAAUCCUAACUCAUAACACAUCUGUAUGUGAUCUUGGUUAUUGUAGAUAAAAUAUUCAGGCAUGUCACCAUUUCCUUAUGUGGGGAAAUUUGGAGGCACACACAUACAAGGAAAAUGCAUGUGAAGAAGGGAGAGAUGAGGAACACCAGAGAGUAUUAUUGGGGGAAUUAUUAAGGCAACUCCACAUAGUUAAAAAGGAGGUUUAUUCUGGGGGAUAACUUACAGCUAGUAAAGGGGUUGGUUACAGGAUCCGGGAGAGGUGAGGUGCAGUCCAGCUGGGUUCUCUGGAGAACUCCGCUCAGUCUACCAUCCAGCAUCCAGGAUCACCAGGAACCAAGAGCACUGGCACAUCCAGAUCUCAGGUCUUAAGGGCGCCUGUCUUGGCCCUGCCUCAAGGGCCGGUCAUAGGUAGGUGUGACAGUUAUGGGAAGCCUCAUUGAGGGUAGUACUUCCAGGUCAAAGCUGGAACAGUUACUCACUACAGAAUAUAGACCAACUACCAGAACGAGGGAAGGGCAGAUCUUUCCUAACAAUUGGUCCUCAGUAGAAACCACCCCAGCCAACAUCUGCAGACUUCCAGCCUCCAGAUAUUUGAAGCAUAAAUCAUAUAUAUGCCCCAUAUAUGUAUAUGAUUAUGUAAAA